rnacentral:rRNA from 1 species
UAGGGAAUCUUCGGCAAUGGGGGGAACCCUGACCGAGCAACGCCGCGUGAGUGAAGAAGGUUUUCGGAUCGUAAAGCUCGGUUGUUAAGGAAGAACGAGUGUGAGAAUGGAAAGUUCAUGCUGUGACGGUACUUAACCAGAAAGGGACGGCUAACUACGUGCCAGCAGCCGCGGUAAUACGUAGGUCCCGAGCGUUGUCCGGAUUUAUUGGGCGUAAAGCGAGCGCAGGCGGUUAGAAAAGUCUGAAGUGAAAGGCAGUGGCUCAACCAUUGUAGGCUUUGGAAACUGUUUAACUUGAGUGCAGAAGGGGAGAGUGGAAUUCCAUGUGUAGCGGUGAAAUGCGUAGAUAUAUGGAGGAACACCGGUGGCGAAAGCGGCUCUCUGGUCUGUAACUGACGCUGAGGCUCGAAAGCGUGGGGAGCGAACAGG